CUGUAUCUGUGCUGCACAGCUGGGCUAAUUAUGCAAUAUGGCACCUUCUUCGGUACAGGGACUCUAACAGGAAAGAUACAAAUGGCAAAUACAUUGAACUACUGAGGUUUCACCAUGAGUCCAGGGCACCCCAAGAUCUCUUCUACCAGCUGCGGGUUGUUCCUGGACAGCUGUUCCUUGGUAACUAUUCCAAUUUGAGACAAUCCUUACCUCUGUAUCGUGUAACUCCUUCCAUGGUUUGAAGAUUAAGGUCAAGGCAUGACUUACGACUCAGGAGUGAGAAUACUUGGUUAUGAGAGAAACGGCAGAGCGAGCACGAGAUGUGUCCCACAGCAGAAGUGAGUGAGCACAGGCCGAGUCCAGCAAAUGGGUAAUUCCUGGAGUGAUGACUUUGCAAGCUCUGGACGAAGGCAGCGUGACUUAGUGCACUAGGGCCUGCGGACACAGGCUGGAACUUAAGUACUUAAUGCUCACUUAUUAUCAUUCUGACUUUUUCACUGUUUCAUGCUCACCUAUAUUCUUUCAUACUC